rnacentral:rRNA from 1 species
UACGGAGGGUGCAAGCGUUAUCCGGAUUUACUGGGUUUAAAGGGUGUGUAGGCGGGCUUUUAAGUCAGUGGUGAAAUCUCCGGGCUCAACCCGGAAACUGCCAUUGAUACUAUUAGUCUUGAAUUUUGUUGAGGUAGGCGGAAUAAGUCAUGUAGCGGUGAAAUGCUUAGAUAUGACUUAGAACACCAAUUGCGAAGGCAGCUUGCUAAACAAACAUUAACGCUGAGGCACGAAAGCGUGGGGAUCAAACAGG